rnacentral:lncRNA from 1 species
CCAAACAAGAAGAGAAAUAGUCUCAGGGAAUAUGAUGUAAUGUCCAAAGAUGACAAAGAAAAGGCAACUGACUCAAAGUUACUCUUGGGCAAGUCAUUUCAUCUCUCCACGACACAGUUUCCUGCCUCUUCAACAAGCGAAAAGUGUUGGACACCAGGGUUGCAUCUAACUUAAUUUUGUUUCCGAUGUUCAUUAAGAAGAAUGAUCUUCAAGCUAGGAAGGAGAGUGUAUAUACCAAAGCGCUUUAUUAUAGCCAUAGCACCGUGAGAAAAUACAGGUUGAAUUAAUAAAUGGAACAGCUACUACAAGUACACUAAAAAGUAAGGACUUUCAACCGAGACUUGGAUGAAGAUAUCAAAGGCCCACUUUUGGAAUUUACAGACAGCACAAACCUGGAUUGGUUGAAUGGGAAAAUAUCUUGUUAUCUGCAAGAGAGAAGAUCCAUGAGAUAGAAGGAAACUGGAUAUCUGAAUUAAUGUAUAGAAGACCUCCUGACUGGGAAUGCACUCACACUGGAUUGUAAUAUCGCUUGCACUGGUAGAAUGUCACGAGCAGCACAUGGUGAGGACUCGAAGCUUCCUGCCAACAGCCAUGUGAAUGAACUUGGAAGCGGAUCCUCCAGCCCCACUCAAGUCUUCAGAGACUGGAGCCCCAGCCGACAGCUUGACUGCAAUCUCAUGAGAGACCCUGAGCCAGAGUCACUCAGGAAAACUGCUCCUGGAUUCUUAGUCCCCAGAAACUAUGCAUGCGUCACUGUACUUUGCAUCUCACCCAUCCUGAAUGACAACUUGAAGAAUCAGCAUAUCAGCCAGGAUACUAGAGGACCCUUAAUUCUUAAUCAAAAUCCAUUUCUAUAAUACAAAGAGAGCACAUUCUUGGGUAUAUCCAACAUCCUCUUGUGAAAAGUAUGUUAAACAGAAGCAUUAUAAGAAUUAUAGCUGAAGAGCAGUCUCAAUUGCUUAUAUGUGUGCAUGUUUACACUAAAGACUUCAACAUUUCCAUGCUGUAUUUACAGAGAGCAAAAGUGCAACAGAUGCAUGCGUAUACAAUAUAUGUUUCACCUAACGUCCAACUGGCUAUUAUCAACUGGUAUUCAUUAAAUUGGAGCCUGAUAGUUCCUUGAGGGCAGGGACAGACAUCUCUCCUGCUUCUUGGUACCCACGUUCUCCCCACCAUCCCCAUGGUGUCUAGUACAAUGUACAAAGCAGGUGAUUAAUAAAUAUUUUCAGUUGAGUUGACAAUGCCUAUGCAAACACUUCUUUCUCAGUCUGAUAGCUCUUUAUCUGUUGCUAGGCUUUCUUUUGUGGUAACAGGGUUAGAGAUAUAUCACAAUUGUACUUAUUUAUUUUCCCAAUACUAAAUAAUACUCUUAACAUUUUUGUUCUGCCAAGAAAUCUUAUGAAGGUAGACAUAGAAUAACUAAACC